UACGAAGGUCCCAAGCGUUGUUCGGAAUCACUGGGCGUAAAGGGAGCGUAGGUGGCUUGUCGCGUCUGCCGUGAAAGCCCGUGGCUUAACUACGGGUCUGCGGUGGAUACGGGCAGGCUAGAGGCUGGUAGGGGCAAGCGGAAUUCCUGGUGUAGCGGUGAAAUGCGCAGAUAUCAGGAGGAACACCGGUGGCGAAGGCGGCUUGCUGGGCCAGUUCUGACGCUGAGGAGCGAAAGCGUGGGGAGCGAACAGG
rnacentral:rRNA from 1 species